GACGAACGCUGGCGGCGCGCCUAACACAUGCAAGUCGAACGGAGAAAAAGACAGCUUGCUGGAUUUUUCUUAGUGGCGGACGGGUGAGUAACACGUGAGCAACCUGCCCCUCAGAGAGGAAUAACGUUUGGAAACGAACGCUAAUACCUCAUAACAUUACUGGAAGGCAUCUUCCGGUAAUCAAAGAUUUAUCGCUGAGGGAUGGGCUCGCGUCCGAUUAGGUAGUUGGUGAGAUAACAGCCCACCAAGCCGACGAUCGGUAGCCGGACUGAGAGGUUGAACGCCCACAUUGGGACUGAGACACGGCCCAGACUCCUACGGGAGGCAGCAGUGGGGGAUAUUGCACAAUGGGGGAAACCCUGACGCAGCGACGCCGCGUGAGGGAAGACGGUUUUCGGAUUGUAAACCUCUGUCUUCGGGGACGAACAAAUGACGGUACCCGAGGAGGAAGCCACGGCUAACUACGUGCCAGCCGCCGCCGUAAAAC
rnacentral:rRNA from 1 species